ensembl:processed_transcript
AGUCGGGUUCCAGGUUCCACCGUGGCGCUCCUGAGCGCCGCGCUUCUCGGGCGCACCUCUUCUCUCUGCCCUCUGUCACCUCAUACCCGCCAGUCCCCUUAGGACUGAUGAACCAAGUACUUUCUGAUGGAGACCGAAUUGGUCGAUGAGGCAGAGCUCAGGGGUUACCUAGUUGGGGCCCAGGGUAAGGGAACAAAUGGAAAGAACGGUUCGUAAAUCUUUAAACAGCUCUUAGAGGUUAUUUGCAAGAAUAAUUCCUAAGCAUCGGAAGUGCUGGGACAUUCUUGUGUGGGACAAGUGUGCACCCAACAAACAUAUCUUUCAGAAAGUCGAAAUGAGAUAGAUGGGAGAGGGUAGUGAAUAUAAAAUAGCAAUGGCAGGUUGCAAUGAAGAUACCGGAGCUUAGUUAAGCAAAGCAGUCGUGUUAAGGAAGACUAGUACGGCAUUAUUACUCUUCGACAAGGUGCAUAGCUUUUCCCAUUGAUAAUGGGAAAUGGUUAUGUCUGUGCGUUAGUGCGCAAGCAUUAUGCUCAAGGAGGAGAAAAGAAAAGUUUUGCAUAAAAAGCCCAUGGAGUUUAGACUUCAACCGAAUUCUUCCCCGGAGUGUAUCAUCUUAGAAUAUAAAACACAGUCCUGGAUGACUGUAACCCCCAAAUUCAAGAAAAGGCAAAUUCAGAAAAUAGCACCUACAGAAAGAACUACUGACAUACCCAAAAAGAGCUCUAACAUCAAAGGUAAUUUGUACUGGCUGAGUGCCCUGGCUUUGGAACACUGUGAUCUAGCGAUGUGCCCCUGGGCAUGGGUUCAUCACUGGAGAAAUGAAAGUUGGAAGAGAAGACAAGGAUGCUCACCCUCCAAGAGUGGUAAAGAUUAAGUUAAAAAAUACUAUAUCACAAAAAAAUAGGUGAUAUAAUAGUUGUCCCAGGCGGUCCUGACCACUUUUAUAAUAAAAGGAGGAGUGUCCAUCCGCGCACACCCUCUCAAAUACAUGCACAUACUGAACUUUGGGCUAAGUCAAGACAACGCCCUUUGUCGAAACAGGAAGCAGUUGUCUCCAAAUAGAAAGAGGGCUGCAGGGUCCUGAUCUCUGCAUCUUCCAACUCUACAGCAGGGCCUGGAGAGACAAAGGCGAAGCAAACUAGAAAGUGCUCACUCGGCCCUGGUCGCCGGAGGACACAGGUUCUAGACCUGAAUUUAUGACCGCAGACUUGCGGUGCUAACGCCUGAGGGUUCCCAGGGUCUCCUGCCCACUUUCACAGACCACCACAAGCUUAAGACCGAGAAUCACUUCCCAGCAUGGCCUGGGAUACUCAGUGGUGAACCCACGGCGACCUGCCCCGAGACCUGACAGCCUCAACACUCUGGGUAAAGGAAAUUAAAAACCCGGACAACUGGAGUCUUUGAGAAUGAAAACGACAUCGGGAUUCCAGACAGCUGACUCGCUCAGAGCUCCAACUGGGUGUACGCACGGCGGGUAAAGCCAACUCCUACAACGACACGUCACCGUUCUGGGCCGCUUCUUGGCUGGGGGGCGGGGCGACCCCUACUUCCGGAUCCGGCCUCUUCUGGGUAACGCCUCACCUGCGGUUCCCUAGGUUACCUGAUGGCAGGGCAGGGCGGGGCGGGGCGGGGCGGGGCGGGGCGGGGCGGGGCGAAGAGUUCCUACUCUAGGUAGCCAGCUCCGGGUUGGUGAGGCUCUUCCCAACUAGGUUAAAGGGAAAUCUCUGCGUUCUCACACAUAUGAUAACGCAACUUUUUUCAGACUACUGAUAACUCUGACUGGAGCAAAACCCGAGGAAUAUGAUUUUUUCCCUAUGUUCCACAUGGCAUUUGACAAUUCGGAGAAGCUGAGGAAAGAGAAGGGCUUUUUUGUUUGUUUUUUUCCACACAGAGUUUCUCUGUGUAGAGAAACCUGGCUGACCUGGAACUCACUCUGUGUAGACCAGGCUGGCCUCGAACUUAGAAAUCCACCUGCCUCUGCCUCCCAAGUGCUGGGUGCGCCACCACUGCCCAGCGAGAAGGGCUUCUUUGGUUUGGUUUGGUUUGGUUUGGUUUUUGGUUUUUUUUAUUAAUCGUGGGUAAGGAUAACGAAAACGGUCAGAUGAUCAAUGAACUAUUCAAUAUAUGCUGACCUUUAUACUCACAAUGGUUGAGAUGAUAAUUUUAUUAUGUAUGAUUUGCCACAGUUAAAAUCGAAAAUUCUCUCCCCCCCACACACACACUUUUCUGCUGAAAUAAUUUAGAUGUCUGUUUUUCUGAGUUUCUCACACUAUAUGAAUGAGAUGGCCAGAUUUAACAAAUAUACAGCCAGAUUUAACAAAUAUACAGAUACCCAUUAAUGUUUUAAUUUCAGAUGCUCAAUCAAAUAAUACACAGGAAAUGCAAGUAUAUUACUUGGCCAUCCUACACAUGUGUGGAGGGUAAACUGAUAGGAAAGUGCCUUAUACUUGAAAAGAACGUGCUUUGAUUUUACUAGCUAUGUGCCUGUAAAUGAAAGAGUCUUUAAGAUUUUUUUUUAGAAGGGAAAAAAAUCUAGAUCUUCAUUUCCUGACAGUAUAUCAUCAAUGACAGGUCAGAAUAUCAUACCCAAAAUAUUCCAUUUGGGCAUAAAAGACAACACUGUGUUAAAGGCAGCAGAAAGCUAGUGUGCACAAGAUGGUCCCCUUUUGUGUCUAAGCAGAAUAGAGAUUUGCCUUUAUGGAAGUAGGGGGAGAGCCUGCUGGGCUAGGCCUGCAACCCCAUCUACUUGGGAGGUUGAGACAAGGAUCACAAGUUUAAGACCUGCCUAAGGUGCAGAUCCCUGAGUUGGAGAACAGCUUGGGAAACUUAAUGAAACUGUGUCUCAAGAAGUUAAAAAAAAAAAAAAAGGAGGGGGUCUUAGUGGUAUAGUGUUGACCUAGCAUGCGUUAGGUCCAUGAUUAUUUGAAUCAGAAGCACCCACCCCACCAAUUAAAAAGACUUGAGACAAUACUAAAAAAAAAAAAAAUUAUGAUAAACUGUAGCAAUCAACUCUAAUCUACCCUAUCUACCCUACUGUGCUGCCUGUGGAUCAAAGUCUGUUUUAACUAGUCACCUCUAUACAACGCACGGCUGCUGUUAAAACAGGAAAUGUCCCUG